UUUCGUAAUCAUUCGUCGGUUAUCGAGAAAGAUAGUCUAGUAGCACAUGGGGUGCGAAAGGAAACGUCUUAACGAUCUUAGAGUUCCUUUUAUCGAUCGCGUCUUUUCCCCUCGCGUUGGCUAUCUAUGUCUUUGUUUGUUCCGGCAAGUCUCACUUCCCUUCCGUGGGAAAGCGGCCCCGAGCGUAGAGGGUGGAAGAUACGAAAUUCUUGACACAAGUUCAGAUUCCACAAGAGAGGCAUUGUUCUUAAAAGAGCUGCUGCUUUGCUUCACCCCGGAAGUAGACUUGGCAAGUCUGUGCCAACAUUCCGCGAGCAUGUCGAAGGCUAUGUUCCGAACUUCUUAAAGAGUAAAAGUAUCGAUGUCAUCUUCGCUGAUUCUUCCAAGGACGGCGACGAUCAAGUUAUACUUGUCGAGGAGGAGGAAAACCAUCGCGUUAACGUAGAGUAAACUCACGAUGGCUGCGUUUGACAGCGUUCGAUGGGUACGCGAUUGUUGAAUGGAUGACGUCAGCCCCCGCAUUCUCUCACGACUUAAUGGUUAUUAUUGUCGGGAGGCACGCACUCUUAUCCCCCCGAGAGGGCCACGACGCACGCACGCACACACGCACGCACGCACGCACGCACGCACGCGUCCGAAUACCACGAAGAGGAGACGUGGGGUGGACGACGACGUCGACGGAAUGUGCAACACGGUGCAACGCAUUUAACAAAACGGGGAGUGCCAUUGGCCGAAUUGACUCGUUCAGCUUUCUCAGUGUUCUUGCCGUUUGUCUACUUGUUUGAAUCAGUUCCAAGCAACGACAGUUCUUCUUCGGAUUCUAAUAAAUUCGAAUGCGUACAUAAAAAA